rnacentral:rRNA from 1 species
AUUGAACGCUGGCGGCAGGCCUAACACAUGCAAGUCGAGCGGAUGAGGGGUGCUUGCAUCCCGAUUCAGCGGCGGACGGGUGAGUAAUGCCUAGGAAUCUGCCCGAUAGUGGGGGACAACGUUUCGAAAGGAACGCUAAUACCGCAUACGUCCUACGGGAGAAAGUGGGGGCUCUUCGGACCUCACGCUAUCGGAUGAGCCUAGGUCGGAUUAGCUAGUUGGUGGGGUAAAGGCUCACCAAGGCGACGAUCCGUAACUGGUCUGAGAGGAUGAUCAGUCACACUGGAACUGAGACACGGUCCGGACUCCUACGGGAGGAAGCAGUGGGGAAUAUUGGACAAUGGGCGAAAGCCUGAUCCAGCCAUGCCGCGUGUGUGAAGAAGGUCUUCGGAUUGUAAAGCACUUUAAGUCGGGAGGAAGGGCUGCAGGUUAAUACCUUGCAGCCUUGACGUUACAGACAGAAUAAGCACCGGCUAACUUCGUGCCAGCAGCCGCCGUAAAAC